CUGAGAUUUCUCGACCCCUCUAAGAAAUAGGAGUCAAAUCUCCAUCAUAUCAAAAAACCCACGGCGUCUUUAACAGUACUGGCUAUGGUCUCUAUGACAACGGCGACGAUGACGCAAGCGAGAAAAUUAACGACGAUUGAAGAUUUUUCUUUGUGCACAAAAAGUGUACUUGUUAAAAGGACAAAAGACGAUGGUGACUGAUGACUGACUGCUGACUGGAGACUGGAGAAUACUAUACAGCGAAUGGCUAGAAAAUAUUUUAGUAGGUUAUCGAAAAGAAAAUAAGUGAGGCCUUAUUCUAAGACGCUGGUAGUGGGAGGCAAGUCGUCAAAGGAUGUGACAGCACUGUUUGGGUUUAGUAUACCACUCACUCACUUGGAAUUGACUGAGAGUGGCAGAUGGAUAAUAAGGUGGUGAAUUGACGGAACAUCAGAGAGAGCAUCAUUGGCACAUCAGACAGAAAAUGAAGUACAUUCCAGACGUAUUCAAUUUUUUUUUUUUCGGGUGAGACAUCUAUUUAUUUCAAAGAAGUACAAAACUCUAAUCUUUUUCAAUGUAGUGAAAGUGUCCAAGACUCUUGUGUUCAAAAUGACUACUCUUGAGGUUCUCCUCUCGCUUGGGGUACAACCAAAAGUCACGGGGAUCUGAGCUGUAAGAAAGGUUAAGGACCGGUUUGAUGACCAAUUCUCUCAAAUAGUUAAUUAGUUAGCAGGACAAAUUUUGCGCAUGACCAGAUUUUCAUGAAUAAUUUUGAGUACAGUUGCCACACCAGCUACGAACUGUACGAUUAUUGUCUUUAUAGACACGCGACGGUCUUCGUCCAGAAAAUUACGAAUUUUCUCAAGCAGCUCUUAUGUCCUGAGACCCCUCUCUUUUCCACACCUGUUAUUGUUUCUCACCUCCUGUCAACCGUCCUUGAGCCUGAUGUGCUAACGAAAAACAAUUAAUUCAUAAGCAGUCUGAAGCACUUCCUAUGUUUUUGUAGCGUUUUACCCAGUUUAACAUAAAAAUUUAUUGCAU